GCUGAGCAGCCAUGGUUCUCUUCAACAAACAGCUGAGGCCUCUUGACUUUUGCUUGGAGCUGGUAGUUUCCAGCUUGGCUGCACAUCAGAAUUACCUGGAGGGCUGUUCAGAAAUCCUGAUGCCCAGGCCACACCUCACUCAGAUCAAUUAAAUAAUCAUCUCUGGUGGCAGAACCCAGGCAUCAGUAAACACUACAGAUGACUCCAACAUUCAGGCCUCUGCACUCAUCUGAAGGAAAAUUAGAGACUGAAUCAACUACUGUGAAACAGCAAUUUCACUUCAACUUGGGUUGUACUUACCUUUUCUUGAUUUCAACAUUUAUGCUUCUAAAAUUGAACUUCUUGCUCCUAAAGCCCAGAGAGGGGAAGAAACAUAUCUAUCUGGUUUAGUAGUGACGUCCAAUGUAUCAGAUUGUUUUUCGGAGUAUUUCAACUCGUCUUUGGGUCAUUGACCUCAGGUUUGAAAACUGCCCUUUCCUCGUGCAGCUCGCGCUUUGCGGCGCCUCUUUUACAACUCGUGCUUAGCCCCAGGCCACCUGUUGCAGCACCGCGGAUUUACCUCCUCCUCUCAGGGAGUUUUGAAGGACUGUAAACAUGUACCAGGGUAUCGAGAAUUAUCAUGUUAGUCUUUUAUGGAAAACUUUUAAGUUCUUAUUUCAACUUCUAGCUUCUCUAGAAUUUUCAUUACAGCCAUUUUCAUUGUUUCUUACUCUUCAUAUUAAUGGUUCCCCAUGGUGGCUGGUGAUUCUAUUGGCUUAUUUCUCCCUCAUUAUUCAGUCGUUACAAACACUGAGGGGAUCAGCACAAUCUGCAGCAAGGAUAUUAACUUUGGAAGCAUUUGAUUCCUACCUGGAACGUGAAGUACAGUAGUGAGGGCUGGCAGGAAAUAAUGUACUGGGAUUGUGGGAAGAAUAGCGCUGGGUGAGUUAAAAUGAUGGUGCCAGAGAGGUGAGACAGAGAGGGCAUCAGGGUGGCUGGGACGGCAGGAGGAGUGUGUGCAUGAAAACAUGCCCUAGGUAAGGGUUGGUCGCCUGGGGUGGUGUGAUUACAGAAAGAACUGAGAGGUUCUCUACAUGGUGUAGGCUCUUGGUGUUUACCUAUAUCUGCUCCUCAUGGCACACAAUUCAGCAUAUUUCCUAACUCCUCUUGUACCUAGAAAGGGUCAUGUGACUGAGUUCUGGCCAAUGAAUUUCUAGUUCUGAUCACGACACACCCCAUGAAGAUUUCCACUCUAUUUCUCAGGCCAUCCUGCUAAAAAGGAAGGAUUCUGAUGGUCUGAAAGAUGAUGCUACCAUAGGCUAGAAGGAGCUGGGACUCCUGAGUCAUUGCUUGGAGGGGACGUAUUGGAUCUUGCAAAACAAGAAAUAAACUUAAAUUCUGUUAAGCCACUGAAAGUUGGGAUUUGUUUCUUACAGUAGCUAGCAUUAAUUAUCCUGGCUAAUGUAGUGUCUCUUUGGUUAUGAUACUGUCUUUGAUGUUGUCACAGCCAGAGAAUAAAGAAAGAAAGAAAAAAGCAGGAAAAUACUGCUCAGAGAGAGAGUAUCUGAGGCGGGUGGGACGAGGAACAGGAGAAAGCAGAUGGCAGUGGGCAUGGAGGGCCUCCAGAGACAGAAAACAUUUUGUGGAUGUACUGACCUAACUGUAGAACUGAGCAGGACCCCUCUAAAUGGACCUCCAUUUGUAAAAGUAGACUGACAUAUUUCUGACAACUAUAAUUAAAACAAUGUGUAUUUCAUACAACUGUAAGUGAAGCACAUAUACUGUUUAUUUAAAAAUAUAAAAUAGGAAACAUCAAAGAACAAGUAUAAAAUUCUUAAAUAUAUAUUGAAAACAUUUUUUAGAAUGCUGAAGUGUGCUACAUGUAUUUCAAAACUCCAUGGAGAGACACAGGAGAGGAGGGAGGCUCUGGGUUUGCUGAGUGGAGCGUGCUGUGAGGAUGGGCACUGUAUGUGGAGAAUGUUUGGAUCGUGUGCAAUUAAAUAUGAAGCAUGUUGGGCCUGGGAGUCUGGAGAAAGUGGCAGGAGAGGUUAGUUUUUCCCUUUGCUUUUUAGUACUUAAAUACAGUGACUUGUAAGUCAGUUUCUAUGCAACAAAAAUAUUUAGUGAUCAGAUUUGGAACAGUUACUUGAAAUUUCCAAGCAUCUGAAGGGGUAAAAAAUUAAAGCUAACAUUUCCUUUGAAAUACAGCAGAGUUUUUUUUUUUUUUUCCUGAAACAUGGAAUAAAUUCCAAAGUCUGAAAUAAUACCCAAAAUGUUCACUCAUCAGUGAAUGACCACCAAAUAGAUGUAUCUUCAAAGUAUGCUAACUUGGUGGCACCCAUUGCUUGAGAUAAAAGGACUCCUUUGUUUCUUCUAAAAACUGCCAGUGACAGACCUUUCCUAUGGAUUGAGGCUUCCCUUUCCUUUCCCCACUUCUUUUCCACACCCCAGUUCAAGAUUUGCUUGGCUGAGAGGGAAGUCUAAGAAUUUAUGAAUAGAGAUCCUGCAGGCUCGCGUGCCCAUGGCUCCAGCGGUCCCAAGGCUCCUGGUGGUCACUGUGAGUCAAUCACUGUGGUCGCCUAAUAUUAUCUAUGGAGCAGACUGAAAGCAUGUCAUUGCCACGAGGAACAGGGUGUUCAAGAUCCUCAGACUAAAAAUCUCACUAGCCAAGGGUUGGGGUAGGUGGGGAAGAGAGAAACAGGUAGAGCACAGAGGAUUUCCAGGGCAGUGAAAUACUAUGUAUGAUUUAAUAAUGGUGAUUACAACAUUAUAUAUUUGUCCAAACUCAGAGAUUGACAACACCAAGAGGGAGCGCUAAGGUAAACUUCAGAUAUUGAAUGGUUAUGAUGUGUCAAAGUAGGUUCAUCAAUUGUAACAAAUGUACCAUUCUGGAAAGUGAUACUGAUAAUGGGGGAGGCUGUGCACUGUCAGAGCAGGAGAUACAUGGAAAUCUCUGUGCCUUCCUCUCAAUUUUGUUGUAAACUAAAACUGCUCUAAAAAUUGUCUUUAAGAAGCACUCACUAGCUAUAAUUAUUUUACUAGAAAUUGAGCAAAAAAAAAAAAAAAAAGGUGUCUUAAACACCACCU